GUGGGGAAUAUUGGGCAAUGGGGGAAACCCUGACCCAGCGACGCCACGUGAGGGAAGAAGGCCUUAGGGUCGUAAACCUCUGUUGUGUGGGAAGAAGAGCGUGACGGUACCACACGAGGAAGUCCCGGCUAACUACGUGCCAGCAGCCGCGGUAAUACGUAGGGGACGAGCGUUGUCCGGAUUUACUGGGCGUAAAGGGCGCGUAGGCGGUCAUUUAAGUCAGCUGUGAAAUGGUUUGGCUUAACCGGAUCAUGCGGUUGAAACUGGAUGACUGGAGUGCUGGAGAGGCAAGUGGAAUUCCCAGUGUAGCGGUGAAAUGCGUAGAUAUUGGGAAGAACACCGGUGGCGAAGGCGACUUGCUGGCCAGCAACUGACGCUGAGGCGCGAAAGCCAGGGGAGCAAACGGGAUUAGAUACCCGAGUAGUCC
rnacentral:rRNA from 1 species